AAGGCAUGUGGGUGCUUAUGCUGC
rnacentral:siRNA from 1 species